UACAGAGGGUGCGAGCGUUAAUCGGAAUUACUGGGCGUAAAGCGUGCGUAGACGGUUAUUUAAGUCGGGUGUGAAAGCCCCGGGCUCAACCUGGGAAUUGCAUUCGAGACUGAAUAGCUAGGGUACGGUAGAGGGAAGUGGAAUUUCCGGUGUAGCGGUGAAAUGCGUAGAUAUCGGAAGGAACACCUGCGGCGAAGGCGGCCUUCUGGACGAUGACUGACGCUGAGACACGAAAGCGUGGGGAGCAAACAGG
rnacentral:rRNA from 1 species